CCAAAGGCUCUUUUCAGAGCCACCCCACUUUCUCAUAAAAGGAGCUG
rfam:Pterocles gutturalis contig79400, whole genome shotgun sequence.